UACGGAGGAUCCAAGCGUUAUCCGGAAUCAUUGGGUUUAAAGGGUCCGUAGGCGGUUUUAUAAGUCAGUGGUGAAAGCCCAUCGCUCAACGGUGGAACGGCCAUUGAUACUGUUAAACUUGAAUUAUUAGGAAGUAACUAGAAUAUGUAGUGUAGCGGUGAAAUGCUUAGAGAUUACAUGGAAUACCAAUUGCGAAGGCAGGUUACUACUAGUGGAUUGACGCUGAUGGACGAAAGCGUGGGUAGCGAACAGG
rnacentral:rRNA from 1 species